CUGCACUGUAGCCUGGGUGACCAGAGUGA
rnacentral:piRNA from 1 species